CCUACGGGGGGCAGCAGUGAGGAAUAUUGGUCAAUGGGCGGGAGCCUGAACCAGCCAAGUCGCGUGAGGGAAGACGGUCCUAUGGAUUGUAAACCUCUUUAGUCGGGGAGCAAUGCCGGGCACGCGUGCCCGGAUGGAGAGUACCCGCAGAUUAAGCCUCGGCUAACCCCGUGCCAGCAGCCGCGGUAAUACGGAGGAUGCGAGCGUUAUCCGGUUUUAUUGGGUUUAAAGGGUGCGUAGGCGGAUUUUUAAGUCAGCGGUAAAAUGUCCGGGCUCAACCCGGGCCGGCCGUUGAAACUGGGGAUCUGGAGUGGGCGGGAAGUACGCGGAAUGCGUGGUGUAGCGGUGAAAUGCAUAGAUAUCACGCAGAACUCCGAUUGCGAAGGCAGCAUACCGGAGCCCGACUGACGCUGAGGCACGAAAGCGUGGGGAUCGAACAGGAUUAGAUACCCGGGUAGUC
rnacentral:rRNA from 1 species